GCUUCUGCUCGUACGUCGUCGGCGCUUUUGCAGAAAAGUCCCUCCGUUUUUUAGAAUUCAACCCGCACUCCUCCUAAUAUGUAAAAACGAACCGGUACGGCGAGCGAAAACGCACGACCCGUCUCGACCUCCAGCGCGCCGCCACCCCCUUCCACUCUGCCGCGCGCCGCCGGCCGCCGGCCGCCUCCACCUCCAGCACAUCUCCACCUCCAGCGCGCCGCCACCCCCUGCCACGCUGCUGCGCACCGCCGGCCCCCGACACGCCGCCACAGCCGGACCCCGACACGCCGCCGCAGCCAGCCCCCGCCGCUUGCCGCCACCGCCUCUCUGCCGCUUGCCGCCCCCACCCCUGCAGCUUUCCACCACCGGAGAGGCGGAGACACACGACGUCGGCGCCGCACCAUCCCCCAACUCCUCUUUCCCCCUCCUCCUCUGCCUCCACUGCUCUUCAGCCGGCCAACUCCCUACUGAGGGAGCCAUGGAACUGCUCGGCCACGCCCUCGAGGUGCUCCCCCAUCAUCCUGUCGUAGGCUGCUGCUCCGGGCCUGCCUCCUCUCAGCUCCCGUCGCUGGAAAUUAGCGGCACCACCAGCUCCCCCGUCUCAAAGUCCCCAAUUGCCAGAAUACCAGGUGCUUGCUCCCAGAUCUGCACUAUAUACACAAUUUUUGCUUGAUUGUGCAGAUUUGUAAAAAUUUCGAUUUGGAGAUGAGUUAGAAUAACCUUGUGAAUUAUGGCUAACCUUCCAAGAUGCAGGCAAGGAAGGCCUGAUUGUUGCUGAAGCCGAGCUCAUAAACGUCUCACGUCAUGUGGUUAUGUGCUAUUCUGAAUCUUCUUCUCUGAAGUGUGUGGUUUCAGUUUCACACAAAAAAUGUGUUGCGCUUGCAGUGCGUACCAAUUUCACGGUUUACCGAUAUGUAUACGUGUUCAUUUGAUUUCACUCCAGUUUACCGAUGUACAUACGUGUUCAUUUGAUUGCACUUCAGUUUACCAAUUCUUUUUACUGAUCCAAGUUCAACAUAAUGUAUGUAUUGUGCCCUCCAAACCUGAAAAUUCCUACUAAUUUGACCUCACAAGUAAAGUAAUGAUGAAUCAGGAACUUCAUCUAAUCCUCACGCUAAAUAGCAACCAGGACCUUCAUUUAAUUCUGACCCAAGAUAGCAUGCUCCCUCUGUUACUAUUAUUUUUUUAAUGGCUGGCCAAAUGAGCUGCAGGAGCAAGAAUUGCAGGAUCAAAACAAAAACCCGAGGAAGAAUAUAAUGUCAGUGUGAUUUGUUGCCAACGCCAAUUCUCCACUGGAGCUCUAUGUGCAGCAACAGAAAGUAUGACUUCAUCACGAAAACAUCUUGAUCCUUCUUUUUUCGUACUACUAUUCUAUAGUAACAAAACACACCAUCAAGUUCCCAGGAUAUCUUGGUCAUUUUUCUGUUCUGUAAAACAGAACAUGUUUAAAGGAUUAUCAACUGUGGCUGAAAACCUGCACAUCCUUUGCUCAUAUAGAAAAUGGAGUUUAGCCUUACAAAGAAGAAGCGGAAAAGAAACUCGGAAGUCCACUUUAUGCUCCUCUGUCUGUAUGUUUACAACUUGCAAGUGGCCUGAUUUUAUCAGUUGUUGAUAGAUGAAAGACCAACCAAUUUAUGCCUAACAUUUGUAUCUCUACAUUUAUGCACUACCAUUAUAGAGCUCAAGGCAUCAGCUGCACCACCAAGUUGGUCAAGAAGUUUGCCUAUGGUGAGUGCCUGUUGGGUUAUGUGUUCAUGGCUUUGUGCGCGACACCUGUGUGCUGUUUCGCCUCGGUUGUUUUUCUGCCGUCCUGCAGUGUUGAAGGUGUUCCGGGAGACACUGGUCUGACAUGAGCAAUGCCGGUCUUCUGAGAUUGAAAAGGUGUUUCGUGAAGCAACAAUCAUGCUAUCAAUCAAAUUUAAUGGCUACUACAACGGCCGAAAGGAGGACGGCGGCCUCCUGAUCCAGCAGGCCUGGAGGCGCUCAGCCAGGGCGUCAACGCGCUCUGUCAGCCUCCCCGCGAUGCGCUCACCCGCUGCUCUAUCCGGCGAGCACCGCCAUCCUCUGGGCGCCGACAGGCGAGUAGUGCUUGCCCAGCUAUGCGUCCAGGCUACGGAAGGCGUGGGGCUUGCUGGGCAAGUAGGUUGCGCCCACUCCAUCAGGAUGCCCUCCCCCACUGUGAGUGUUAAGUGACUAAUCAUGCACAUCCAUUUAAACAAAGAUUCAGAAAAUUGUUUGAUUCACUAAUUAAUCAACCAGUAAAGGACCAAUUGUUUAAUCCCACUAGCUAGACACUCAUCCAUCCUAUCCAGUGAGUUUAAAUUGAUUAAUCUUGCACAUCCUUAAAUUAUGAAGAGUAAAGAAUAGAUUUUGGUGUUGGAGGAGCAGCCAGCAAGUGCAGUUUGCAAACCAAAUGCAGUUUCUGUGGAGAACAUUGAUUUGCGACCUCAGCUCAGCCCUAUUGAACGGAUUAAUUACUCUUCGAAAUAGGAUUUAGCCCAUAAUAGUAAUUCCACUCCAAUAUUGGACGAAGUGUUGAUUGAGCUGAGAAAUUUACUUGACGAUGAAAGGAACGGCUUGCUUCAAAAUUUGCAAAUUAACCUCUCCAAGCUCUCAGAAGAGAAGCAAUAAUGUGACUCCCAGGUGUCUCUCUGAGAGAAAAGCUGGAGAUGCUUUGGCGGUGGCAAAAUAAAGGGAAGUAAUUGCUAUGGACGCCAGCCAGUCAGGUGUUCCUCUUAACCCUUCUUUUGUACUCCUACAGAUAGGAGAUGAAAGGAGAAGGAUGAAGAAGUCAAGCUAUUGGAGAGGUCAAUUGAGGAGCUUGAAAGUACUUUAUUUGCUCUCAAAAGUAGCUUUAUUCAGUUUGAGUGAAUUUUGUGGCCUAACUGUUGUAGCUAUUCAUUUUUCCAUGCAUUCUGAAUGUUAGUACACACCCAUGUUGGUAUAGAACUCCUGUUGUUAUGCCUGCGUUAUGACAACAACUUUCCCAGAUUUUUUUUUGCAUAAACAUACAUAUGUGGACUAAACUCUUUCCCUUAUUUUUUGUUACUUGCUCAGCCAAUACAUAUGUAUGCUAAUAUAGUUAUUUUCAUAUAUUUCUAAUCCCUGAAAACACAAUACAAAUCCUAAAAGAAGUUAUUUUUUGUAAUUAAAAUUGCUAGCAAUGACCUUAGUGUUUUACGUUAUGAAACAUCUUAUGAUCUAAACACCAUGCACCUGCCUGGAAACGCACAUUAGUAUUGACCAUGAAUGAAUUUUUCAUGAAGAAAAGAGAGCCUGAUUCUCGGGUUUUUUUCUCCCGUUGCAACGCACGGGCCCUUUUGCUAGUAUUACCAAAAUAAGCAACUUCCUUUUGUGAGGCCGGCUAAUCAAACUAGAAAAAUAAUAUAAUCGUGUGCCACCAGAAUAUAUCUAAAAAGGAACGACCAGGGUGUAUCUAUUAUAGAAGUUCAUGUGUUGGACUCAGAGACUUAAACAUGACCAUGGGACACGGCUUGGUAUUAUAUUAUUUAAUACAGUCCAGAAUAAACAAGACCUGCAGAGUCCAACUCGAACACAACUUCCUUUAUAUAAGGACAUGCAUACACACGAUCUACACAUAAACGAUCUGGAGCUUCCGCGUCUUCAAACGAUCCAAAGCUUCCAAAGACACAGAAUAAAGAGAAAAAAGAGGUGCGAAGAAGACACAGAAGUCAUCUGUUGUUUCAGAGGGUCGAUCUGAAAUUGACAAACCCAUAAGCACUAGCCUCGGCCACCAUGUCGAAUAAUCAUGUGCCUAUGAUCCAAAAGGGGGAUAAAAACGCCAGAAGGGAUAUCAUCUUGGGCAAAAAAGACAAAUUACCUGACGAAAAGAAGCAAAUUAGAGUGGGAACAACCGGUAUGUUAUGACACAAUUUACUGCCUCUAGCACAUCUACAGUCUAACUAACAAUUGAAAGAGCAUUACAUUAUAAUGCAAAUAAUAUAUGAAAAAAUGAACGCAAACAAGCUAGGACAAAGCAAAGUCAAUCUCCAAACCAAAUAAAAGAAAGCAAGUGUCGAAAGUUAUUAAGCAUGAUCGGUAACCAGUCAGAUAUUCAUGUCCAACAAGAUAGCCUACACCAUCAGAAUGAAAGGCUAUUCACAUGCGUAUAUACAUCCACUGCCGUUGUAGCUUGCCAGGAGAGUAAAAUGAAAAUACCCAAUGAUCAUGCUAUAGUAAAUGAAGAGCACGAAAGGAUUUCACCGGGUCCAAAUAAACAAAAACCAAGAAAGAGGAAACAGAUAGUCCAUGGAAAUCAGAGCAACAAGUGUGCGAGGUUGGUUCAAAGAAAACAAAAUUGUGAAACUGAGUUUGCUUUGAGUACCACAGCUGGCGAACAUGUUCUAGAAGCAUCAAAUUUUGCUAGAGGCUUAGCAGAUACCGAUUUGAUUAGAAGAAAGGUGAUAAGUAAGUUGCAUCGAGCAAAUAGAAAGAAGUUACAAGCGAUGAGAAAAGGAGGUAAAUCUCAUAGUUCUCCAAGUGAGGUUUCAAAUUUUGGAAAACCAACAUGCAUAUGUCCAUUCUGCAAGGCUAUAAUGUGGCAUCAAGAGAGAAGCAAUCAUAACACAAACAAGUCAAGACCAACAUUCGGACUUUGUUGCAAGGAAGGCAAAGUCAAACUGCCACCAUUAAAAAAACCUCCAGGAUACCUUCAGCAGCUACUAACAUGUAAUGAAAAGGGAGAAUCCUCAAAUUACAGAGACAAUAUCAGGAACUACGAUGGGUGGCCAGGUCGACUACGAGAUAAACAAAAUAGGUGGUGCACCAUAUGUUUUUCGCUUGAAUGGCCAAAACUACCAUCAAAUUGGCACGUUGCUACCUAAAGAUAAUGGAGAUAAUUCUCUCAGGCCAAAGUUUGCUCAAUUGUAUAUUUAUAAUACAGAAAAUGAGGUCAGAAACAAAAUGCAGGCUUCAACCUCAAAGGAAAGGAAAACACAACUUGAUGAAGGCAUUGUGUCUGGAUUGUUGCAGAUGCUUGAUGAUCACAAUGAGUUAGUGAAAUCAUUCCGUAUGGCAAGGGAUAGAUACCGAGAGUCGGAUCUCGAAAAUGUUAGGUUGCGAUUAAUUGGUACAAGAUCCAAUGAUGGAAGACAAUACAACCUACCAACUACAUCUGAAAUAGCCGCACUCAUUGUUGGGGAACAAAUAGGAGAAAAUGUUGAACGUGAUAUAAUAGUAGAAAACAAAGACAAACAACUCCAGCGAAUUUCGGAACUGCAUCCAAGCUUUAUGUCUAUGCAAUACCCGUUGUUAUUCCCAUACGGAGAAGAUGGAUUCAGACCAGAAAUUAAAUUAGAAAAAACAAAAGGUGUCGAAGGAAAGAGAAAGUAUGUUACCAUGAUGGAGUAUUAUGCAUAUCGCAUACAGCAGCGACUGAACUAGUCAGUAGUCUUGCAAACAAGUGGAAAAUUGUUCCUUCAGUUCAUCGUAGAUGCAGCAACAUGCAUUGAGCAAUGGAGGCUGAAUUGGUACAGGAUGCAUCAAGGGACGCUUAGAACAGAGCUAUAUAGCGGUCUGCAAGAUGAAAUUGAUAAUGGUGAUACCAGAACUGAUCCAGUAGGUAAAGGAAUUAUACCACCUUCAUCAUAUAAUGGAAGUCCGAGGAAUAAACAUCAGUACUACCAGGAUGCAAUGGCCAUAUGUCGGUGGGCUGGAUAUCCAGAUCUGUUUAUCACUUUCACAUGCAACCCAAAGUGGACAGAAAUACAGAUCAUGUUGGACUUCAUAACAGGACAAAAACCAGAGGAUCGUCCAGACAUUGUCAAUAGAGUAUUCCUUAUAAAGCUGAAUGAACUAAUAGAAGACAUAUACAAAAAAAGCGGUUUGGAAAAGCAAUAGCAAUUGUCUACACCAUCGAGUUCCAGAAAAGAGGUCUACCUCAUGCACAUAUACUAUUAUUUUUGGAUCCAGAUGACAGGGAUCCUAGCCCCCAAAAUAUUGACAAAAUCAUAUCAGCAGAGGUGCCAGACAAGGAUGUUGAUCCAGAAGGUUACAUGGCAGUUGAAAAUUUCAUGAUGCAUGGACCAUGUGGCCAGGCAUGCUACAAGUCACCAUGCAUGAUCAAUGGGAAGUGCUCAAAACAUUUCCCUAAGAUGUUUUGUGCGGAAUCAAGCAUCGAUGAAGAAGGAUUCCCAAUAUACAGAAGAAGAAAUAAUGCCAGGACUAUAGAAAAAAGUGGAGUACAGCUAGAUAGCAGGUAUGUUGUUCCAUACAACAGGGACCUAAUUGUCAAGUACCAGGCCCAUAUAAACGUGGAAUGGUGUAACAAAUCAAGAUCCAUAAAGUAUUUGUUCAAGUACAUCCAUAAAGGAGAGGAUAGAGCAACUGUAAUUUUGGGUGCAGGAAAUAACUAUGACGAGAUACAAAUUUACCUUGAUGCACGAUACCUAUCGGCUGGUGUAGCAUCUUGGCGUAUCUUUGGAUUUGAACUUCAGCACCGGCAGCCUUCUAUACAGAGACUGCAAUUCCACCUUCAAGAUGAGCAAAUGGUCGUGUUCCCGGACUCAACUGAUAUUGAUAAAAUUGUACAUAGACCUGGCAUAGAGGAAACAAUUUUUACCGAAUGGAUGACCGCUAAUAAAUUGUAUGAGGAGGCCCGUAAUCUAACAUAUGCAGAAUUCCCCAUUAAGUAGACGUGGCAUGCAAAGGAGAAAAGAUGGAAACCAAGGAAAGGCGGGAAACGGUCUAUUGGGAGGAUAUACUAUGCCCAUCCAGCAAGUGGUGAGAAAUAUUACCUGAGGAUUCUGCUGAAUACUGUCAAAGGUUGUAAAUCAUAUGAGGACAUCAGAAAAGUAAAUGGUAUUUUACACCCAACCUAUAAAUCAGCAUGUUAUGCCCUUGGAUUACUCAAUGAUGACCAAGAGUGGGAUGAUUGUAUUAAGGAAGCAUCGCAUUGGGCUUCUGCACAACAAAUGCGACAACUUUUCUGCACGAUACUCAUUUUUUAUGAGGUCACAGAUCCAAGGAAACUAUGGGAAUCUACAUGGGAAUUACUCUCAGAGGACAUACAACGACGUCAAAGGAAAAUCUUGAACUUCAAUGAACUACAUCUUAAUCCUGAACAAAUAAAAAAUCUCACAUUUAUAGAGAUAGAGAUGUUGCUAAGGAGAGGUGGAAAGACACUAAAAGAUUAUGAAGGAAUUUCACUACCAGAUAGCAACUCACUACAAUGUCUACAAAAUAGGUUGGUAAGUGAAGAGCUUAACUAUGACAGACAGUCUCUACAAAUAGAGAAAGUGGCACUACUUUCAAAGUUAAAUCCAGAACAGAAACAAGCUUUUGAUGCAAUACUACAAUUUGUGAAUAGCAAACUAAGCAAACUGAUAUUUGUCAAUGGAUAUGGUGGAACAGGAAAAACAUUUCUGUGGAAGGCAAUCACGACAUCACUAUGAUCUGAAGGAAAAAUAGUUUUAGCAGUAGCAUCCAGUGCAAUAGCAGCACUUCUUAUACCUGGGGGAAGAACUGCACAUUCAAGAUUUCACAUCCCACUCAACAUCAAUAAUGAGUCCACAUGUGACAUAAAGCAAGGAUCCUAUCUUGCAGACCUGCUAAAGAAAACAUCCUUAAUUAUAUGGGAUGAAGCACCUAUGGCGAACAAACAUUGCUUCGAAGCAUUGGACAAGAGCUUGAGAGACAUCCUAAGGUUCACAAAUGAAAGUAGUGCAGAUAAACCAUUUGGAGGGAUGACGGUGUUAGAAGUAUAAUUAUGUUUAAGUUAGAGAUUAGGAGUUAGAGAUAGGAUUGGUUUAAAUCAUGUACGACUUGUCCCCUACUCCAAGUCUCUCUCACAUAUUGUACUCUAUAUAUACCCACACCUGGGUCAGAUCAAUACAACAACAACAAUAUUCAUCCAUCCUACAAUUCCCACAUGGUAUAAGAGCGGUUUGUUUAACGACGCCGAUCCUAGGACCUUCCAUCACUUCCGCAGCGCGCCGCCCCCGGGGAGAUUAAUCUCCUCUCUCUCCGGGGGCGCGGCACCCAAUCGGUCAAAGAUCCGAUUGGUUCGGUAGAUUAGAUUAGAUGAAUUCUUGAAAGUUCGAAUUUCCAGUAGAUUAGUUUCCUUUAGCCACAAAUAAAUCCCACGAUCCAGAAGAUCCGGUGAAAUCAGCGCAGAAAUAGCAGCAGGGGCAUCGAGUACUCCAUCGACUCCGGCGGCCACGUGCGGCAUCAGCCUUCAGACGACGCGCCCAUAGAGACAAUCCGGCACGACGCUCAGGUCGCGCAAUCCAGAAGGCAGCCGCCGCUGGUUUCUUUCGCAGCAUACGAGAUCCGGUCUCUUGCGUUCGUGAAGGCGCGACAUCCAGAUUCUACGGCUGCACGGUGCGACUCAAGGCGGUGCUCCCUCGGCAGCCGGCACCAACAUGCAUGUCAUCCGUGGCGCCUUCCCACUGCGAUCUCGCACAUGUCCCAAACCGAUCGAAGCAGCAACACAAAUUGUCCUCGACGGCCGAACGACAACGGCGCCACACGCAUCCUCGCCCGAUGCAAGCAUGCGACGGAGAUGGCACCAUGUACCACCGACGCAUCUGCAUGCCCUCGUACAAGAAAGAAACAAAAGCCCACGUGCUUGCAUGUGCAUGUGCAUGUGCUACGUCAAGCCUGCGAUCGGAUGGAUUUGGCCACACGUCUCUACUUCACCCCGACGCGCCGCAACUCCUUCGGUUUUCGCCAUUGAAACUCCAUCAAUGUCGUUGCUUCAGUGACCAUCGCGGACACAGGCGCCUCCUCUGCUACAAUGACGACGACGCGACCUCCGACUUGCGAUUCCGAUGGUUGUAUGCAACCGGCGCUACACGUGCGGGAGCACGGGAGGCCGAAUAUCUGCACGCACCGCAUUGAUCCCACCGCGCAGCACGGCUGUGCAUCGAUGGUCUUCUGCACCGGAGCUUCUUCAGCUAUUCUCCAUCGAGCUUCACUGGGAUCCGGCUCCACGCGUCUCCAGCUUCAUCGACCCGCGCGACUCCAGCAUCGGCAUCUAACGGACGCGUCGUCAAGCAACAGCAGUUCUGCGGCACAUCUACUCCUGCACGGAGAGGUGCAGCCAGCCGAACACAUCUACACCGAGGCGGCCUGAUGCAACUGCAUGGACAUCUACACCAUCGAUCGACACCUCGCAUCAACCCCGCGCCGCAUCAUCAAAUUGUACGACUACGCCAGGCUAGAAGCCAAUAUACUUCGUCGAGCACGUCUACGAGAAGUGAUCUCAACAUGCACCACCCACACGCCAGGCCGGUGUGGAGCGAGAUGCAAUCUUCAUCGCCUUCUCCAGCGCGACACGACAUCGACACUUGGUUGCCGCAAGGGACGCCUUCAAGCGACACAUCGUCGACAUGCCGCUGUGACGCCAUAGCCGACACUUCAUCGCCAAGGUCUUCAUCAACAUGGUCUUCACCAACAUCAUCGUCAACACACCGCCGCCGCCUCGUCCACAAGAUGGACACCUAGCGUCCUCUGACAGACUUUUCUGCAAGGCGCGACCUCGACGACGGCAAUGACCGCGUCACGACGACGGCAUCGACCGCGUCAUCCACAACUACAGGACUGCAUCGACACGGCGUCACUACAGUGACGACCCUACACGGCCACACGGUUCUGGCAAAACCGAUGUGUGCUCGAUGGGCUUCCUCCGGUCUUGGCAAAACCGGUGGACUCAUCGCCGACGACACCCUCCGACAUCCGCGCGGUGCGUCGUCCACGUCUGCAGCUCCGUAAUAGCGCAUUUUUUUUGCGCCUCCGGCUUUGUGCGGCUUCAUCAUCCACGACGACCACACCAUCGACCACGACUACCUCGACCACGACUACAUCACCAUGAUCGGCUACCUCGACAUUAAUGGCUACGUCUACAACAACUCAUCGGCAACAACUCCAGUCAACAGCGUCCGCCUCGUCACUUGUGUCCACGACACUCCCGCUGUGACUGCGGGAGGGAAUAGAGGAGAAGACAGGGAAGGCACCAGAAGGGGACGCAGUCACCGCCCUAGGUGCCGACCCAUCAGCCAUCAGAGACGCAGUUGAUGAUGGUGCAGCGGAGAGGACGGCGGAAGCGCAAGACUUCAAAUUCAGUCGCAAUCGUUCGCUUCACUCACGCUACGACUGAGGGGGAAUGUUAGAAGUAUAAUUAUGUUUAAGUUAGAGAUUAGGAGUUAGAGAUAGGAUUGGUUUAAAUCAUGUACGACUUGUCCCCUACUCCAAGUCUCUCUCACAUAUUGUACUCUAUAUAUACCCACACCUGGGUCAGAUCAAUACAACAACAACAAUAUUCAUCCA